AUUGAACGCUGGCGGCAUGCUUUACACAUGCAAGUCGAACGGUAACAGGCCGCAAGGUGCUGACGAGUGGCGAACGGGUGAGUAAUGCAUCGGAACGUGCCCAGUCGUGGGGGAUAACUACUCGAAAGAGUAGCUAAUACCGCAUACGAUCUAUGGAUGAAAGCGGGGGACCGUAAGGCCUCGCGCGAUUGGAGCGGCCGAUGUCAGAUUAGGUAGUUGGUGGGGGAAAGGCUCACCAAGCCAACGAUCUGUAGCUGGUCUGAGAGGACAAACAGCCACACUGGGACUGAGACACGGCCCAGACUCCUACGGGAGGCAGCAGUGGGGAAUUUUGGACAAUGGGCGCAAGCCUGAUCCAGCAAUGCCGCGUGCAGGAAGAAGGCCUUCGGGUUGUAAACUGCUUUUGUACGGAACGAAACGGCUCUGGUUAAUACCCGGGGCUAAUGACGGUACCGUAAGAAUAAGCACCGGCUAACUACGUG
rnacentral:rRNA from 1 species